rnacentral:rRNA from 1 species
AUGAACGCUAGCUACAGGCUUAACACAUGCAAGUCGAGGGGCAGCAUGGUCUUAGCUUGCUAAGGCCGAUGGCGACCGGCGCACGGGUGAGUAACACGUAUCCAACCUGCCGUCUACUCUUGGACAGCCUUCUGAAAGGAAGAUUAAUACAAGAUGGCAUCAUGAGUCCGCAUGUUCACAUGAUUAAAGGUAUUCCGGUAGACGAUGGGGAUGCGUUCCAUUAGAUAGUAGGCGGGGUAACGGCCCACCUAGUCUUCGAUGGAUAGGGGUUCUGAGAGGAAGGUCCCCCACAUUGGAACUGAGACACGGUCCAAACUCCUACGGGAGGCAGCAGUGAGGAAUAUUGGUCAAUGGGCGAGAGCCUGAACCAGCCAAGUAGCGUGAAGGAUGACUGCCCUAUGGGUUGUAAACUUCUUUUAUAAAGGAAUAAAGUCGGGUAUGCAUACCCGUUUGCAUGUACUUUAUGAAUAAGGAUCGGCUAACUCCGUGCCAGCAGCCGCGGUAAUACGGAGGAUCCGAGCGUUAUCCGGAUUUAUUGGGUUUAAAGGGAGCGUAGAUGGAUGUUUAAGUCAGUUGUGAAAGUUUGCGGCUCAACCGUAAAAUUGCAGUUGAUACUGGAUAUCUUGAGUGCAGUUGAGGCAGGCGGAAUUCGUGGUGUAGCGGUGAAAUGCUUAGAUAUCACGAAGAACUCCGAUUGCGAAGGCAGCCUGCUAAGCUGCAACUGACAUUGAGGCUCGAAAGUGUGGGUAUCAAACAGGAUUAGAUACCCUGGUAGUCCACACGGUAAACGAUGAAUACUCGCUGUUUGCGAUAUACAGCAAGCGGCCAAGCGAAAGCGUUAAGUAUUCCACCUGGGGAGUACGCCGGCAACGGUGAAACUCAAAGGAAUUGACGGGGGCCCGCACAAGCGGAGGAACAUGUGGUUUAAUUCGAUGAUACGCGAGGAACCUUACCCGGGCUUAAAUUGCAGAUGAAUUACGGUGAAAGCCGUAAGCCGCAAGGCAUCUGUGAAGGUGCUGCAUGGUUGUCGUCAGCUCGUGCCGUGAGGUGUCGGCUUAAGUGCCAUAACGAGCGCAACCCUUGUUGUCAGUUACUAACAGGUUCUGCUGAGGACUCUGACAAGACUGCCAUCGUAAGAUGUGAGGAAGGUGGGGAUGACGUCAAAUCAGCACGGCCCUUACGUCCGGGGCUACACACGUGUUACAAUGGGGGGUACAGAGGGCCGCUACUACGCGAGUGGAUGCCAAUCCCAAAAACCUCUCUCAGUUCGGACUGGAGUCUGCAACCCGACUCCACGAAGCUGGAUUCGCUAGUAAUCGCGCAUCAGCCACGGCGCGGUGAAUACGUUCCCGGGCCUUGUACACACCGCCCGUCAAGCCAUGGGAGCCGGGGGUACCUGAAGUGCGUAACCGCGAGGAGCGCCCUAGGGUAAAACUGGUGACUGGGGCU